GUCAUCUUGAAGCAAAUUUGAUGAUGGAUUAUGAGGUUUUGAUGGAUUUAGUUAGGUGAUUGUGAUCUCGAGUAGAUAGACAAAGAUGUUUGAUGGAUUAUGAGGUUUUAGGACUAGUAUGAGCAUGACUACUACUAUAUUGGUUGAUAAACAUAUUUUCAAUUAAUCUUGAAUUUCUGGAUUUAGUAAGGUGAUUGUCAUCUUGAAGCAAAUUUGACGAUGAGUUUUUGAUGGAUUCAAGUACGUGGUUGUGGUUUUGAGGAGAUGGUCAAAAAUGUUUGGUGGAUUAUGAGAUUUUAGGUCUAGUAUAUGAGAAUGGUGAUUAUGUUGGUGGAUAAACAUAUUUUCAAUUAAUUGGAACAUUUUGGAUUUAGUUAAGAGAUAGUCAAAGAUGUGUGGUGGAUUAUGAGUUUUUGGUGGAUUUAGUUUGAUGAUUAUGAUCUUUAGGAGAUAGUUAAACAUGUUCGAUGGAUUAUGAAAUUAUCAGUCUAGUAUGAGCAUGGCUAUAUUAUAUUGGUUGAUAAACACAUCUUUCGUUAUUCUUGGAACAAUUUGGAUUUAGUUAGGUGCUUGUCAUCUUGAAGCAAAUUUGACGAUGGAUUAUGAGUUUUUGGUGGAUCUACUUAGGUGAUUCUGAUCCUGAGGAGAUAGUCAAAGAUGUUAGGUGGAUUAUGAGAUUUUAGGUCUAGUAUGAGCAUGACUACUAUUAUAUUGGUGGAUAAACAUAUUUUCAAUUAAUCUUGAAAUAAUUUGGAUUUAGUUAUGUGAUUUUGAUCUUGAAGCAAAUUUGACGAUAGAUUAUGAGUUUUUGAUGGAUUUAAUUAGGCAAUUGUGAUCUUGAGGAUGUAGUAAAAAAUGUUCGGUGGAUUAUGAGAUUUGAUUAUUCUGUUAGAGGAUAAACAGUUUUUGAGAUUUAAUUUAAUUAUUCCUGGAACCAUUUGGAUUUAGUUAGGUGAUUGUCAUCUCAAACCCAAUUUCAUGGUGGAUUAUGAGAUUUUAGAUUUAAUACGUGUGAAUGGUGAAUAUUAUAUUGGUGGAUAAACAUAUCUCUAGUUAAUCUUGGAACACUUUGAUUUAGUUAGGACAUUGUGAUCUUUAAGCAAAUUUGUUAGUGAAUUACUCCCUCCGUCCUAAAAUAAAUGACUUAAGUUUGUACUAACUUGGUACUAGAGGGAGUAUGAUAUUUUAGGUGGAUUUAGUUACGUGAUUGUGAUCUUGGGGAGAUAGUUAACGAUGGUCGAUGGAUUAUGACCUUUUAGGUCUAGUGUGAGCAUGACUACUAUUAUGUUGGUAGAUAAACAUAUAUUCAAUUAAUUUGGAUUUAGCUAGGUGAUUGAUCUUGAAGCAAAUUUGACGAAGGAUUAUAAGUUUUUGGUGGAUUUAGUUAGGUGAUUGUGGUCUUGAGGAGCUGUAUAAAAUAUUUGGUGGACUAUGAGAUUGUAGGUCUAGCACGUGAGCAAUGUGAUUAUUAUAUUAAUGGAUAAACAAAUCUUCAAUUAAUCUUGGAACACUUUGGAUUUAUUUAGGUGAUUGUGUUCGGUUGAUUAUGAGAUUUUAGGUCUAGUACAUGAGCAUGGUGAUCAUUAUAUUGGUGGAUAUACAGAUUAUUCAAUUAAUUUUGGAACACAUUAGAUUUAGUUAUGUGAUUGUGAUCGUGAAGCAGAUUUAUCAGUGAAUUAUGAGAUUUUAGGUAGAUUUAGUUAGGUGAUUGUGAUCUUGAGAAGAUAGUCAAAGAUGUUCGGGAGAUUAUGAGAUCUUAGGCCUAUUAGGUGAGCAUGGUGAUUAUUAUAUUAUCGAAUAAACAAAUCUUCAAGGAAUUUUGCAACAAUUUAUAUUUAGUUAGGUGCUUGUGAUCUUGAACAAAAAUGCACGGUGAAUUACAAAAUUUUACGCUGAUUUAGGUAGGUGAUUAUAAUCUUGAGAAGAUGUUAGGUGGAUUAUGAGUUUUUAGGGUUAAAGGAUGAGCAUGAUGAUUAUUAUAUUAUUGGAUAAACACAUAUUUAGUUAAAUCUUGGAACAAUUUAGAGUUUAUUAGGUGAUUGUGAUCUUCAACUAAAUUUCAUGGUGGAUUAUAAGAUUAUUGGUGGAUUUAGUUAGGUGAAGCACGUGAGUAAUGUGAUUAUUAUAUUGAUGGAUAAACAAAUCUUCAAUUAAUCUUGGAACACUUUGGAUUUAGUUAGGUGAUUGUGUUCGGUUGAUUAUGAGAUUUUAGGUCUAGUACGUGAGCAUGGUGAUCAUUAUAUUGGUGGAUAUACAGAUUAUUCAAUUAAUUUUGGAACACAUUAGAUUUAGUUAUGUGAUUGUGAUCGUGAAGCAGAUUUAUCAGUGAAUUAUGAGAUUUUAGGUAGAUUUAGUUAGGUGAUUGUGAUCUUGAGAAGAUAGUCAAAGAUGUUCGGGAGAUUAUGAGAUCUUAGGCCUAUUAGGUGAGCAUGGUGAUUAUUAUAUUAUCGAAUAAACAAAUCUUCAAGGAAUUUUGCAACAAUUUAUAUUUAGUUAGGUGCUUGUGAUCUUGAACAAAAAUGCACGGUGACUUACAAAAUUUUACGUUGAUUUAGGUAGGUGAUUAUAAUCUUGAGAAGAUGUUAGGUGGAUUAUGAGUUUUUAAGGUUAAAGGAUGAGCAUGAUGAUUAUUAUAUUAUUGGAUAAACACAUAUUUAGUUAAAUCUUGGAACAAUUUAGAGUUUAUUAGGUGAUUGUGAUCUUCAACUAAAUUUCAUGGUGGAUUAUAAGAUUAUUGGUGGAUUUAGUUAGGUGAUUGUGCUAUUGAGUAGACACUCAAAGAUGUUUGAUGGAUUAUGAGAUUUUAGGCUAGUAAGUGAGCAUGACUAUUAUUCUAUUGGUGGAUAAACAGAUCUUUAACUAAUCUUGGAGCAAUUUUGAUUUAGUUACAUGAUUGUGAUCUUGAACCAAUUUCACAAUGGAUUAUGAGAUUUUAGAUGGAUUUAGUUAGGUAAUUGUGGUCUUGAGGAGAUGGUCAAAGAUGUUUGGUGUAUUAUGUGAUUUUAGGUAUAGUAUGGGCAUGCCUACUUUUAUAUUGGUGGAUUAACAUAUAUUCAAUUAAUCU
rnacentral:lncRNA from 1 species